rnacentral:rRNA from 1 species
CACUUUAAUUGAUUUCUUCGGAAUGAAGUUUUUGUGACUGAGUGGCGGACGGGUGAGUAACGCGUGGGUAACCUGCCUCAUACAGGGGGAUAACAGUUGGAAACGACUGCUAAUACCGCAUAAGCGCACAGGAUUGCAUGAUCCAGUGUGAAAAACUCCGGUGGUAUGAGAUGGACCCGCGUCUGAUUAGCCAGUUGGCGGGGUAACGGCCCACCAAAGCGACGAUCAGUAGCCGACCUGAGAGGGUGACCGGCCACAUUGGGACUGAGACACGGCCCAAACUCCUACGGGAGGCAGCAGUGGGGAAUAUUGCACAAUGGGGGAAACCCUGAUGCAGCGACGCCGCGUGAGCGAAGAAGUAUUUCGGUAUGUAAAGCUCUAUCAGCAGGGAAGAAGAAUGACGGUACCUGACUAAGAAGCACCGGCUAAAUACGUGCCAGCAGCCGCGGUAAUACGUAUGGUGCAAGCGUUAUCCGGAUUUACUGGGUGUAAAGGGAGCGCAGGCGGUACGGCAAGUCUGAUGUGAAAUCCCGGGGCUCAACCCCGGUACUGCAUUGGAAACUGUCGGACUAGAGUGUCGGAGGGGUAAGUGGAAUUCCUAGUGUAGCGGUGAAAUGCGUAGAUAUUAGGAG